GAGUUUGAACCUGGCUCAGGAUGAACGCUGGCGGCGUGCCUAAUACAUGCAAGUCGAGCGAACAGAUAAGGAGCUUGCUCCUUUGAAGUUAGCGGCGGACGGGUGAGUAACACGUGGGUAACCUACCUAUAAGACUGGGAUAACUUCGGGAAACCGGAGCUAAUACCGGAUAACAUUUAGGACCGCAUGGUUCUAAAGUGAAAGAUGGUUUUGCUAUCACUUAUAGAUGGACCCGCGCCGUAUUAGCUAGUUGGUAAGGUAACGGCUUACCAAGGCGACGAUACGUAGCCGACCUGAGAGGGUGAUCGGCCACACUGGAACUGAGACACGGUCCAGACUCCUACGGGAGGCAGCAGUAGGGAAUCUUCCGCAAUGGGCGAAAGCCUGACGGAGCAACGCCGCGUGAGUGAUGAAGGGUUUCGGCUCGUAAAACUCUGUUAUUAGGGAAGAACAAAUGUGUAAGUAACUGUGCACAUCUUGACGGUACCUAAUCAGAAAGCCAUGGCUAACUACGUGCCAGCAGCCGCGGUAAUACGUAGGUGGCAAGCGUUAUCCGGAAUUAUUGGGCGUAAAGCGCGCGUAGGCGGUUUCUUAAGUCUGAUGUGAAAGCCCACGGCUCAACCGUGGAGGGUCAUUGGAAACUGGGAAACUUGAGUGCAGAAGAGGAAAGUGGAAUUCCAUGUGUAGCGGUGAAAUGCGCAGAGAUAUGGAGGAACACCAGUGGCGAAGGCGAC
rnacentral:rRNA from 1 species